AUGAACGCUGGCGGCGUGCCUAAUACAUGCAAGUCGAGCGAACAGAUGAGGAGCUUGCUCCUCUGACGUUAGCGGCGGACGGGUGAGUAACACGUGGAUAACCUACCUAUAAGACUGGGAUAACUUCGGGAAACCGGAGCUAAUACCGGAUAAUAUAUUGAACCGCAUGGUUCAAUAGUGAAAGACGGUUUUGCUGUCACUUAUAGAUGGAUCCGCGCCGCAUUAGCUAGUUGGUAAGGUAACGGCUUACCAAGGCAACGAUGCGUAGCCGACCUGAGAGGGUGAUCGGCCACACUGGAACUGAGACACGGUCCAGACUCCUACGGGAGGCAGCAGUAGGGAAUCUUCCGCAAUGGGCGAAAGCCUGACGGAGCAACGCUGCGUGAGUGAUGAAGGUCUUCGGAUCGUAAAACUCUGUUAUUAGGGAAGAACAAAUGUGUAAGUAACUAUGCACGUCUUGACGGUACCUAAUCAGAAAGCCACGGCUAACUACGUG
rnacentral:rRNA from 1 species